AUGUUUUUGUUGUAUUUAUUCCUGAAAGCUCAGGCGAUUUGUUAUAUUUUUGAGAGUAAAAAGAAGACAAGAAGCCGCACCAAACUGUGCUCUUAUGACCAUAACCGCGUGUUGCUUUUCUCCCUAUGUUUUUCUGUUGGCUGGACUAGGCUCCAUCGCGCUGUGCUCCACGUCAUGACUGAUGUGUGUAUGUAUAGCGCUGUGUGUAUGUAUAGCGCUGUGUGUAUGUAUAGCGCUGUGGGUAUGUAUAGCGCUGUGGGUAUGUAUAGCGCUGUGUGUAUGUAUAGCGCUGUGGGUAUGUAUAGCGCUGUGUGUAUGUAUAGCGCUGUGUGUAUGUAUAGCGCUGUGGGUAUGUAUAGCGCUGUGGGUAUGUAUAGCGCUGCGUGUAUGUAUAGCGCUGCGGGUAUGUAUAGCGCUGUGUGUAUGUAUAGCGCUGUGUGUAUGUAUAGCGCUGUGGGUAUGUAUAGCGCUGUGGGUAUGUAUAGCGCUGUGGGUAUGUAUAGCGCUGUGGGUAUGUAUAGCGCUGUGGGUAUGUAUAGCGCUGUGUGUAUGUAUAGCGCUGUGUGUAUAUAUAGCGCUGUGGGUAUGUAUAGCGCUGUGUGUAUGUAUAGCGCUGUGUGUAUGUAUAGCGCUUGUUGUCUGUCUGUCUGUCUGUCGUGUACUUUUAAUCAUGAUAAUGAUUUAUAAAAGUCCUCUUCACGCCAGGUUCAACUGGGAGGCAACUUGGCGUGUGUUCUCUGCAGUUUUACAUUUUUCUUUUAACAGUACCCUUUGCAUAUUUUUUUUCUCUGAAAGAAGUCAACUGUUUUCAGCUUUUCUUAGUGUCUUUGAUUCUAUUUGGGUUUAGUGUAUAUACACAUGGCUGUGCAGUCUGACACAAUGGCCCAAAAGUCAUUCUGUUGAUGAACGCAUAACGGAACAUUUCAGAGUAGGUUCUGGGUCUAGAACAGAGUGGCUUCUAGUUCUAGAACAGAGUGGCUUAGACAAGCAGUAGCAUAUGACAUAAGCCAGAGCCACUCUUCUGCUCAAGUGGUUUUGGAAUAAAUGGCUCCUGCUCAAGUGGUUUUGGCCAUGUAUUCCAAAAUGAUUUUAUUGUAGUUCAUAAUUCCAUGUGUUCCAAUUCCCUGAUGUCAUUUCGUACACGUGCCUUUUGGAUUUUAAUUUGGCUUGCAGCUAUCCAAAUAUAUAAUGAUAAAAUAAGCAUUUCAAAAGAGGAUGUCUCUGGAAACUUUUGUUUUCAUGUACCAUGUGUUUCAACUGCUGUUCAAAUAACUGUUUGAGGGAAAUUAAUUGUUUGUUUUAUAAAUCAUAGUGUUUUUUAAUUUUAAAUCAAAGAUCUUUGUAAAUUACAAUAACUUGGAAGGCUGUGCUUUGAAUACAACUAAUUAGAGAAAGUAGUAUUUUAUUGAACAGACCCAUUGAGUUUUUUGCCUUUGCUAAAAAAUGUAUUAAAGUAAUAUGAAAACUGGUUUGUGUAUGGCAUUCUUUACUGGGAUAGUAUAAUCAUGACAUUUCAG
rnacentral:lncRNA from 1 species